GGUGGUUCUCGGGUAACAGACCCUGGAAUUGGGCUCCCUCCUCUCUGAUUGCAGGUGUGUCACCCAAGAAUUGCA
rfam:Myotis davidii contig63176, whole genome shotgun sequence.